AGACCCGAAACCCGGUGAUCUAGCCAUGGGCAGGUUGAAGGUUGGGUAACACUAACUGGAGGACCGAACCGACUAAUGUUGAAAAAUUAGCGGAUGACCUGUGGCUGGGGGUGAAAGGCCAAUCAAACCGGGAGAUAGCUGGUUCUCCCCGAAAGCUAUUUAGGUAGCGCCUCGUGAAUUCAUCUCCGGGGGUAGAGCACUGUUUCGGCUAGGGGGCCAUCCCGGCUUACCAACCCGAUGCAAACUGCGAAUACCGGAGAAUGUUAUCACGGGAGACACACGGCGGGUGCUAACGUCCGUCGUGAAGAGGGAAACAACCCAGACCGCCAGCUAAGGUCCCAAAGUCAUGGUUAAGUGGGAAACGAUGUGGGAAGGCCCAGACAGCCAGGAUGUUGGCUUAGAAGCAGCCAUCAUUUAAAGAAAGCGUAAUAGCUCACUGGUCGAGUCGGCCUGCGCGGAAGAUGUAACGGGGCUAAACCAUGCACCGAAGCUGCGGCAGCGACACUCAGGUGUUGUUGGGUAGGGGAGCGUUCUGUAAGCCUGUGAAGGUGUGUCGUGAGGCAUGCUGGAGGUAUCAGAAGUGCGAAUGCUGACAUAAGUAACGAUAAAGCGGGUGAAAAGCCCGCUCGCCGGAAGACCAAGGGUUC
rnacentral:rRNA from 1 species